rnacentral:rRNA from 1 species
GUAGGUGGCAAGCGUUGUCCGGAAUUAUUGGGCGUAAAGCGCGCGCAGGCGGUUCUUUAAGUCUGAUGUGAAAGCCCACGGCUCAACCGUGGAGAGUCAUUGGAAACUGGAGAACUUGAGUACAGAAGAGGAAAGCGGAAUUCCACGUGUAGCGGUGAAAUGCGUAGAGAUGUGGAGGAACACCAGUGGCGAAGGCGGCUUUCUGGUCUGUAACUGACGCUGAGGCGCGAAAGCGUGGGGAGCAAACAGGGAUUAGAUACCCUGGUAGUCCACGCCGUAAACGAUGAGUGCUAAGUGUUAGGGGGUUUCCGCCCCCUUAGUGCUGCAGCUAACGCAUUAAGCACUCCGCCUGGGGAGUACGGCCGCAGGCUG